ACAUUCAGUGUUUUUAAGCUUAUAAAAGUCUUUCCACUAUAGAAUUUGUUAAGUCUGUGUGAAAUAUUAACAGAUUUUUAUAGCUCCUGAAGAAAAACAGUCCUUUAUGGCUUUUUUGGAUAGGUGUUUGAGUGGCAAAAUUGUAGACUUCUUGCCUCAAUUUUAUUAUCCAUCACCUACAUCCGAACAACUCUUAGCCAAAAGGAUCUGAUAACUUCAUCCUGUACUCUCUGUGUCAUUUGAACCAGGCCUGUACCUUGUCAGUGCACAGUCACAACGGGUCCAGGUUAGAUAUGAGGAAGAAAGUGGCCAAUUCAAACUGAAGUAAGUGGUCCACAGUGUUAUUUUAAGGUAUUUGAUGGUUAAUGUUGUUUUAGGGUGUUUGAUUAUUGGUCUUAAUGACUUGUGUAUCCUUUCUGAUUGAGUUUGUAGGAUACUGUUUCAGACUAAGGUGUGAAUGGAAGCUGGAAAUACUUUUAUUUUAAAGGACAAAGCUGUUAACACAAAGGUAACUUGGGAGCUUUGAGGAGAACCACAGUUUGACCAGUGUCUGAAACUGGAGGCAGCUUCAUAUAGUGAAAAGAACUCUGGACUUGGUCCCAGAGGAUCUAGAUUCAAGUCCAACCCAUGUGCCCUUUGGUAAGUCACGUAACUUCUUCCUUUUACCAGCAUACUAAGAAGAGAGAGCAGUUUAUAAUCUGUUUUUGAAAAGUAAAAAAAAUGUUUUAAAAAAGUCAUCUGUUUUUACACAGUGAUUUUUGUUUUCUCUUUCAGAAGUAUCAUCUCACCCUCAGUUAUUAGAAAUUUCUUCUCUGAUUUGGAUGUCAGAUUUAACAGUGUGUCCUGAUUGAAAGGCUGUUAGCAGAUUGACAGAUCUUCUAGGAUUUUGCUGAUGACCAUUAAUUUGCCAUAAAGCCAGCCUAUUGCCAUCCUUGUCAUUCCCACCUAUUCUUAACUGCAGAGCCCCUGGGCCUUUACCCAUAUCUUUUUCUUUGUCAGGAACACUUCCUCACCUCUUAUUUCACUGUUGUCUCUUAAAAAAUUUCCAUUUUUCCAAAAAACCUGUAUACAACUCUAAAAUUUAAGGAUCCCUAUUUGGUCUGAUGUACCACGUCAUGGUAAUAAUACUGUAAUAUCAUUUAUUGUUUACUUAGGAUUUCACUAGAUUGUAAGGUUCAUGAUAGUAAGGGCUAUUUCUUUUCCUGUGUCUUUACUCCAUAGCACGCUCUAAAGUGCUAUAUUCUGGGCACUCUUCUAAGUGCUUUGCAUGGUGCAUGGUCAGUCACUUCAGUCACGCCCCACUGUUUGUGAUCCUAUGGACAGUAGUCCACCAGGCUUCUCAUUCCAUGGGAUUCUCCAGGCAAGAAUACUGGAGUGGGUUGCCAUGCCCUCCUCCAGGGGAUCUUCCCAGUCUAGGGAUCAAACCCGUGUCUGCUGCGUCUCCUGCAUUGCAGGCAGAUUCUUCACCACUGAGCUACCUGGGAAGCCACCUCUAAGUGCUUUACAUAUGUUUAAUUCAUUUAUCCGUACAAUGGCUUUAUGAGGGUAUGAGUCACAAGUUGUCAUUUGUUACUUGGAUUUUUAAAAUAUUUGCAUAAGUUCUUAUCAAGAUGUAGGCUAAAAUUCUUCAUGGGAAGGCAGCUCUUAAUGUAAGGGAAACAACUGCUCUUGCAAAGCAGCCCCCCAAAAAGAAAAAGCAACCCACAUUCAUCUCAAACAAACUCGGAUGAAGAAAAUUCAAUACAAAGUGAUUAUGUAAUGGAUUUUCAGCUCUUAAGUGGUAGAAGAGACAACU